UCAGGCCUAACACAUGCAAGUCGAACGCACCGCAAGGUGAGUGGCCCACGGGUGAGUAACACGUGGGAAUGUAUCCUUUGGUUCGGAAUAACGUCUGGAAACGGACGCUAAUACCGGAUGAGCCCCCCUGUCUGACGAUGGGGUGGGGAAAGAUUUAUCGCCGAAGGAGCAGCCCGCGUCUGAUUAGGUAGUUGGUGGGAUAAAGGCCUACCAAGCCGACGAUCAGUAGCUGGUCUGAGAGGAUGAUCAGCCACACUGGGACUGAGACACGGCCCAGACUCCUACGGGAGGCAGCAGUGGGGAAUAUUGGAAGAUGGGCGCAAGCCUGAUCC
rnacentral:rRNA from 1 species